ACGAACGCUGGCGGCAUGCCUCACACAUGCACGUCGAACGAGACCUUCGGGUCUAGUGGCGCACGGGUGCGUCACGCGUGGGAACCUGCCCUUAGGUUCGGAAUAACUCCCCGAAAGGGGUGCUAAUACCGGAUAAUGUCUUCGGACCAAAGAUUUAUCGCCUUUGGAUGGGCCCGCGUUGGAUUAGCUAGUUGGUAGGGUAAAAGCCUACCAAGGCGACGAUCCAUAGCUGGUCUGAGAGGAUGAUCAGCCACACUGGGACUGAGACACGGCCCAGACUCCUACGGGAGGCAGCAGUGGGGAAUAUUGGACAAUGGGCGAAAGCCUGAUCCAGCAAUGCCGCGUGAGUGAUGAAGGCCUUAGGGUUGUAAAGCUCUUUUACCCGGGAUGAUAAUGACAGUACCGGGAGAAUAAGCUCCGGCUAACUCCGUG
rnacentral:rRNA from 1 species